AACUAAAUGAAUAACAAAGCACCUGCAAAGAGUACAAAAGAAUCAUCAACUUUUGAGUCAAUCUAUCCAUCAUGACAUUUUUAUAUUUCAAAAGAAACUAAAAUGAGACGCUCAAUUGCUUAUCUUCCUUUUUGAGGCAAAGUUCGGUUUAGUCAACUGGGUUUUUUGGCAUAUUUAAUACAUUUUGUAGGUAAUUUGCUUCAUUCUUUUCAAGAGUAAAGAUGAAGAUGACUUACAUGCUAAAUCUUAGUCAUAAAAUUGUUCACCAGAAAUCCCCACAGGAACAAACUCCAUCUUUAAAAUGAUGAAAGCGAUUUGUGUCUCUGACAUAUAUUUCUCUUCCUUCAAAGCCAGAUAUAAAUUUUAUAACGGCAUGACAAUCACCACAGAUUCUGAGAUUUUUUAUUAUCUGCAGUGGAGAGCCCGGAGGAGUAUUCAGAAGCCCUAAGGCUACUGCCAACUUCUCACUAUGUCCACAUAAGAUCUGCUCCUUGUCCUGCUCGUCCACAUCUUGCAACACCAAGUUAGUAUUUGGCAGCAAGAAGCAUGUGCACUUGGUUCUUGAUCUCAAUCCAACUGCAACCGGGGUUCUUCUUCAUGCCCCUACUCCUCAUGACAUCUCUCACGGCAUCUACUUCGUCCCACAUUGCCUUGGACGCAUAUAUAUUGGAAAGAAGGAUGUAAUUUCCAGGAUUAUUUGGUUCUAAUUCAAAGAGAUUCCUUGCAGCAAUCUUGCCUAAACGAAUGUUAUUGUGAAGCCUACAAGAACUAAGCAAAGCUCCCCAAACACAGGCAUGUGGUUCAAAUGGCAUUUGCUUGAUCAUGGUAUAUGCUUCUUCUAGCUUUCCAGAACGACCUAGAAGGUUUACCAUGCAGGAAUAGUGCUCCAUUUUUGCUUCAAUUCCAUAGUCUUCAUACAUGCUAUUAAAAAAUCGCCA